rnacentral:misc_RNA from 1 species
UAAAAUCUAAAUUGCAGCAAAUUGUAUCAAGAAAAAACAUUCCAUAAUACCUCAUUCUAUUUUGAUGGUCGUAGUUCCUACAUAUUGUAUUCACAAAACAUGCUCUCUUUUCUUUGAAAGUUGAUCUCAGGAACCCAGAAGUUUUUUGAUUCCUGCUUUCUGCUCUGAUGUUAGCCUUGUUGGGAACUUAAUGUUGAACUUGAUUCUCAGAUUUCCUCUCUUCGCCGGGUCUUUUUGGAUUGGCAUUCCUUCCCUUGGGAUGACUUCCUCAUAAUUUGGAUGAAUCACACUGUUGAUUGGAAUGGACAAAUUCCUUCCAUCUAAGGUGGUGAGAUGGACGGUGUAACCUGUCAGUGCUUCAGCUAAUGAAAUUUUUUGUGUAAUAAUUAAGUCAUUUCCAUCACGAGUGAACACAGGGUGGGGUUUCUCAUCAAUUAUGAAGACAAGAUCAGCAGGUAUGACAUUCGGUUGUUCAUUCCCUUUCUCUGGGAAGGUGAUCUUUGUGCCCUUCUUCCAGCCAGGGCCAGGCUUUAUGUCAAUUGUUAGGAUUUCCUCCACCUGCAUGGUCUUGCCGCUCAUGUCAACAAUCUCUCGAGAAAUCUUCAUCUUUUUGGUAGUCCCCUUGUAGAGUUCCUCAAGACUACAAGGCAACCUAUUCUCAAUUGCAGAAGCUUUUCUAGGAACAUUUUGAUGCAUUGACCCCCCUCCUCCAUCACCAUAAGACCCAAAGAUAUCAUCACCAAAUAUUCCACUCGAGAACCUUG